rnacentral:rRNA from 1 species
AUUGAACGCUGGCGGCAUGCCUUACACAUGCAAGUCGAACGGCAGCACGGGAGCAAUCCUGGUGGCGAGUGGCGAACGGGUGAGUAAUAUAUCGGAGCGUGCCCGGUCGUGGGGGAUAACGUAGCGAAAGCUACGCUAAUACCGCAUACGAUCUACGGAUGAAAGCGGGGGAUCGCAAGACCUCGCGCGAUUGGAGCGGCCGAUAUCAGAUUAGGUAGUUGGUGAGGUAAAGGCUCACCAAGCCGACGAUCUGUAGCUGGUCUGAGAGGACGACCAGCCACACUGGGACUGAGACACGGCCCAGACUCCUACGGGAGGCAGCAGUGGGGAAUUUUGGACAAUGGGCGCAAGCCUGAUCCAGCAAUGCCGCGUGCAGGAUGAAGGCCUUCGGGUUGUU